GCUGGCGGCGUGCUUAACACAUGCAAGUCGAACGGGAACCUUUGGAUUCGUCUGAAGGGGAGAGUGGCGAACGGGUGAGUAACACGUGGGUGACCUGCCUCGAAGACGGGGAUAACCACUGGAAACGGUGGCUAAUACCCGAUGGUCUCGAUAAUUCGGUUUAUCGAGUAAAGGCUCCGGCGCUUUGAGAGGGACCUGCGGCCCAUCAGCUAGUUGGUAGGGUAAUGGCCUACCAAGGCAAAGACGGGUAGGGGGCGUGAGAGCGUGACCCCCCACACUGGCACUGGGACACGGGCCAGACUCCUACGGGAGGCAGCAGUGAGGAAUAUUGCGCAAUGAGCGAAAGCUAGACGCAGCAACGCCGCGUGGGUGAUGAAGGCCUUCGGGUCGUAAAACCCUUUUCUGGGGGAAGAGUAAGGACGGUACCCCAGGAAUAAGCCUCGGCUAACUAUGUGCCAGCAGCCGCGGUAAUACAUAGGAGGCAAGCGUUAUCCGGAUUUACUGGGCGUAGAGAGCGUUGAGGCGGCUUCGUAAGUUGGACGUGAAAGCUCCCGGCUUAACUGGGAGAGGCCGUUCAAUACUGCGGGGCUUGAGGACAGCAGAGGGGGGUGGAAUUUCCGGUGUAGUGGUGAAAUGCGUAGAUAUCGGAAGGAACACCAGUGGCGAAGGCGGCCCCCUGGGCUGCUCCUGACGCUGAAGGCGAAAGCUAGGGUAGCGAACGGGAUUAGAAACCCCGGUAGUCCUAGCCGUAAACGAUGGAUACUAGGUGUAGGAGGUUAAAAUUCCUUCUGUGCCGGAGCUAACGCGUUAAGUAUCCCGCCUGGGGAGUACGGUCGCAAGGCUAAAACUCAAAGGAAUUGACGGGGGCCCGCACAAGCAGCGGAGCGUGUGGUUUAAUUCGAUGCAACGCGAAGAACCUUAC
rnacentral:rRNA from 1 species